GACGAACGCUGGCGGCGUGCUUAACACAUGCAAGUCGAACGGAAAGGCCCUGCCUUUGUGGGGUGCUCGAGUUGCGAACGGGUGAGUAACACGUGAGUAACCUGCCCUUUACUUUGGGAUAACUUCAUGAAACUGGGGCUAAUACCGCCUAGGAGCUCCUGCUGCAUGGUGGGCGCUGGAAAGUUUCGGUGGUUGGGGCUGGACUCGCGGCCGAUCAGCUUGUUGGGGUGGUAGUGGCUUACCAAGGCUUUGACCGGUAGCCGGUCUGAGAGGAGCACCUGCCAAGUUACAACGGGAAUAAGACACAGACGCGUACCGGAGGGAGGAGAGGAGUGUGGAACACGAUGGGAGGAAGGAUGAUGCGACAACGCCGCGUGCGGGAUGACAUCAUGGCGGUAGGAAACCACAUUCGCGUGUGACGAAACGAGAGUGACGGUAACGGGUAAAGAAGCACCGGCUAACUACGUG
rnacentral:rRNA from 1 species